UACGAAGGGGGCUAGCGUUGCUCGGAAUCACUGGGCGUAAAGGGUGCGUAGGCGGGUCGUUUAAGCCAGGGGUGGAAAUCCUGGAGCUCAACUCCAGAACUGCCUUUGAUACUGAGGGUCUUGAGUUCGGGAGAGGUGAGUGGAACUGCGAGUGUAGAGGUGAAAUUCGUAGAUAUUCGCAAGAACACCAGUGGCGAAGGCGGCUCACUGGCCCGAUACUGACGCUGAUGCACGAAAGCGUGGGGAGCAAACAGG
rnacentral:rRNA from 1 species